GGAAUUCUGAGAUUUGAAAUUCAUGUCAGUAUUAAUCAGCAUAUACAAGUAGAAACUCUAAUAAGAUAACAGUAAAGAUAGCAAAUCUAAGUUAAUUUUUUUUUUCGUUUAAAAAAUCUCUUUCCCACUAUGCCUCAGAAAAAUAUACAACAGGCUUUAAAUGAUGGAGAGAGCUACCAGCACUGAUCUGUUUCCCAGUUCCGGGUAGUAUAGCCGGUGAAUGCCGACAUUGCUGAAGGAGAACAGCCGCCGGAGUAUAAAUUGACGUUCCGGCGCCUCCGGAAUAGGCGGCGGUCAUAAUCGGCGCGUUUAUCCGGAUCCGAAAGAGUAGAAUAGGCAGAAUGAAUCUUCAUGAAAUCGUCCGCCGACGUGUCCUUCUGAUCAAUUGCCGCCACAUCAGGAUGACAAACCCUAGCUAAUCUCCGAUAAGCUGCCUUGAUCUCCUGGAUCGUAGCGCCGAUCGGAAUCCCUAGAAUCUCGUAGAAAGACGCCGAAGAAGCAUGGAUAAUGUCAGAAGGCAGCGUCGAGUACCUUGACGUGGUAGAUUCAGUUUCGACGGAAGCGCAAGUCGCCGCCGCCGCUGCGGCGGUGGUGAAGUUACCGGACUGACGGAAUCUGACGGAAGACGGUGAUAGAAGAGAAUUAUCGCCGGAGGAAAAUAUAUUCACCGGCGGUGGCGGAGUUUGAAGAAACGAACGAGGGGAAGUAGUAGAUAUGAUGGGCAUGUUUAUUUUACUUUUUGGUGUGUGUGUGUGGAGUGUAAU
rnacentral:misc_RNA from 1 species